GGAAGAAGGAAUCAGGAGGCAGAGCACAUGGUUAAAGCAUGAGAUGUGAAACCAGGAAGAACCAGGUCUGAAUCUUAGCUCCACCAGUGGUAGCUCCAAACCUUAGUCCUUUCUGAGCCUGCUUCUUCAACCCUAAGGAAUUCGGAAACGGGACCCAGAAAGUUGUUUCCUGCAAGUGGCUGGAACAACACAAGCAAUAAGUAUCCUGAAACAGGCCCUGUUCCAACAAACUGACCCAGAAAGAGGUUACACCAAUUAUCUCUCCAGCAAGUAUGAGGAAUCCUGUUUCCCUACGUUCUCACUACGACAGCAGGAUAUCAAACAUUGAUAUCCACCAAUCUCUGGAUGGAAAAACAAAUCUCAGGGGCCUCACUAUUUUACCCUGGCUGGUUUCGAACUUCUGGGCUCCAGCUACCCCCAAGCCUC
rnacentral:antisense_RNA from 1 species